GCUUUUAUUUGACUGACAACAAAAACAGCCGAUUUCUUUAUAUUUUUGUCAGAGGGAAUAGAGCAUGCUCUAAUCGAAAAAAAUUACAUGUAUUACAUGUAGUUUCGUUUGUAUCAUACGACGACGGUGCGGCAAAUGAUAGCAUGUUCAGGGCAUGCGGGGAAGAUGAUGAGACGUUGGAGCAUUUCCUAUGUCACUACUGCCCGACUUUCGCGCCUAGAAGAUACCAUCAUUUAGGUGGGGACACAAUACCAGACAUGAACCAACUUAGGAGAGUGGCAUGGAAAACAAUUAAGUAUUUUUAUUUUAGAGCGCACAACAAGCCGAUUACUGACUUGGGUGUGUGUCCAUAGUCCUCUUUUCAACCUAACCUAAAUAAAUGAAAUUGGAAAUUUCGCGUAAAAAACGACCAGAUAUCUCUUUCAAAUCGGCUUCACCUUUGAUUUGAAACAAAACACAUUCUAUCUAAUGUCUGUUUAAUUUUUUAUUUCAACAAGUUUUUUUGUGUAUUAUGAUAACUAUUCUGUUUUAUUUUUGUUAACGCCUUCUCUGAGAAUGGCACGAUUCGCAUCGUUUUGGGUGCCGGGCCGUAUCGGAGUAACUGGGAAUGAGAAUUCUCACUAUGUAAAAUCAAGCUCAAGCUCACUUAUGUAAAAUCGGUGCGGCAAAUGAUAGCAUGUUCAGGGCAUGCGGGGAAGAUGAUGAGACGUUGGAGCAUUUCCUAUGUCACUACUGCCCGGCCUUCGCGCCAAGAAGAUACCAUCAUUUAGGUGGGGACACAAUACCAGACAUGAACCAACUUAGGAGAGUGGCAUGGAAAACAAUUAAGUAUUUUUAUUUUAGAGCGCACAACAAGCCGAUUACUGACUUGGGUGUGUGUCCAUAGUCCUCUUUUCAACCUAACCUAAAUAAAUGAAAUUGG